CCCUUAGAUGUCCUGGGCCGCACGCGCGUUACACUGAUGCACUCAACGAGCAUAUAACCUUGGCCGAGAGGCCUGGGUAAUCUUGUUAACAUGCAUCGUGAUAGGGAUAGAUUAUUGCAAUUAUUAAUCUUGAACGAGGAAUUCCUAGUAAUCGCAGAUCAUCAAUCUGCAAUGAUUACGUCCCUGCCCUUUGUACACACCGCCCGUCGCACCUACCGAUUGAAUGGUCCGGUGAGGACUCGGGAUUGUGGUUUGGCUCCUUCAUUGGGGCCUGACUGUGAGAACUUGUCCAAACCUUAUCAUUUAGAGGAAGGUGAAGUCGUAACA
rnacentral:rRNA from 1 species